GUCUAUGGCCAUGCCACCCUGAACAAGCCUGAUGUCUGAUCUCAGAAGCUAAGCAGGGUCAGGCCUGGUUAGUACUUGGAUGGAAUACUACCUAGGAAGACCAGGUGCUGUAGAUA
rfam:Pteropus alecto contig38656, whole genome shotgun sequence.